rnacentral:rRNA from 1 species
GACGAACGCUAGCGGCAGGCCUAAUACAUGCAAGUCGAACGGUAAGGUCUCUUCGGAGAUACACGAGUGGCGCACGGGUGCGUAACACGUAUGCAACCUACCUAUCAGAGAGGGAUAGUCGCGGGAAACUGCGAAUAAUACCUCAUAUGCUCACGGAUUGGCAUCGAUCUGUGAGGAAAGCUCCGGCGCUGAUAGAUGGGCAUGCGUCCCAUUAGUUAGUUGGUAAGGUAACGGCUUACCAAGACAUCGAUGGGUAGCUGGUCUGAGAGGACGAUCAGCCACACGGGCACUGAGACACGGGCCCG